rnacentral:rRNA from 1 species
UACGAAGGGGGCUAGCGUUGCUCGGAAUUACUGGGCGUAAAGGGCGCGUAGGCGGGUGUUUAAGUCAGAGGUUAAAUCCCAGAGCUCAACUCUGGAACUGCCUUUGAUACUGAACACCUAGAGUACGGGAGAGGUGUGUGGAACUCCGAGUGUAGAGGUGAAAUUCGUAGAUAUUCGCAAGAACACCAGUGGCGAAGGCGGCUCACUGGCCCGGUACUGACGCUGAGGUGCGAAAGCGUGGGGAGCAAACAGG